CCGACAAUCAAAAGGCAAUACUGCCUUCUUCCCAAUAUGCCAUGUCACCUUUGUAGCACUCACACACUUGCAGGGAAGGGACUCGGGUUUGGGGGUGGUUCUGAUGUAGAAAUUGCAGAUGGAGAGCUGGGCUCUGGGGAUGGAAAUGGAGAGGAGCGAAAAAGAGCCUGGAGAAAAGGCUGUCAUAUUUGCUCAGAAGAACCGCCAAAUCAGAGAGCACAGAAGAUUUCAUUGGGGGAGAGCCUUCAACAGCAACUAAUCCUGUCGUACUGAAAGAAAAUUGUAAAUGUUCUCUCCAGAAACUGUCCGUCCAUUGCAGCUAAUCGAACACACACGCACGAAUACAGACACGCUCUCCUGCUGUACUAAAGGCGCCCGGGCGCAAAGACCUAGGGAGCGCGCGCGGGCGCACACACACAUACACACACACACACUAACACGCUCCAGGCUGCCGGUUGGCCAGAGCCUGGAAAUCGUAGAUUUCACCAGGAAAUCGCCGAGAUACCGGAAUAGGUGUUGCCUCCCCAAAACUAAUUCCUACUUCCCCAAACACUUUGGUGAAGAAAUGAAUCCAGCCCAGCUCGCCGAGGCAUCCAGGUCUCCGUUCUAUUUUGGUCUCCAGGCUCUUCGUGAAAGCCAGAUCAAGGGAGAAAGAGAACCGGCGGCUGGCCUCGGACUCUAA
ensembl:lincRNA